rnacentral:lncRNA from 1 species
CUCGCUAAACUCCUGUACAUACUCCCUCACAGUGCCUUGUUGCGCAAGCCGACGCAACCUUGCUCGAGCCUCAUCCUCGGCAUACUCUGGGUAAAACUGUGCUUUGAAUUCACAUCGAAACUCCUCCCAUGUUCCGAUUUCAGACCCACCACGUCUUACAUCAGUGGACCUACGACGCCACCACAACAAAGCAACGUCAGAUAGAUACAUCGCAGCAGUAGUUACCUUAGUGACAUCCUCCGUGAUGCCUUUGGCACAGAAGUAUUGCUCGAUUCCCCACAAAAAGUUGUCCAC